UACGAAGGGGGCUAGCGUUGUUCGGAAUCACUGGGCGUAAAGCGCACGUAGGCGGAUUUUUAAGUCAGGGGUGAAAUCCCGGGGCUCAACCUCGGAACUGCCUUUGAUACUGGAGAUCUUGAGUCCGGAAGAGGUAAGUGGAACUGCGAGUGUAGAGGUGAAAUUCGUAGAUAUUCGCAAGAACACCAGUGGCGAAGGCGGCCUACUGGUCCGGAACUGACGCUGAGGUGCGAAAGCGUGGGGAGCAAACAGG
rnacentral:rRNA from 1 species